rnacentral:rRNA from 1 species
UACAGAGGGGGCAAGCGUUAUUCGGAAUUAUUUGGCGUAAAGGGCGCGUAGGCGGCCUGACAAGUGGAAGGUGAAAUCCCUCGGCUUAACCGAGGAACUGCCUUCCAAACUGUUUGGCUUGAGUCCGGGAGAGGCGAGUGGAAUUCCCAGUGUAGCGGUGAAAUGCGUAGAUAUUGGGAGGAACACCAGUGGCGAAGGCGGCUCGCUGGACCGGAACUGACGCUGAGGCGCGAAAGCGUGGGGAGCAAACAGG